UCUCUGAUAGCUCAGUUAGUAGAGCAUGAGGCUGUUAACAUCAGGGUUGUGGGUUUGAGCCCCAUGUUGGGCA